CAGAAAGAGAGAGAGACAGACAGACAGACAGAGACAGAGAGACAAAGACAGAGAGACAGAGACAGAGAAACAGACAGAGAAAUAGAGACAGAGAGAGAGAGAGAGAGAGAGAGAGAGAGAGAGAGAGAGAGAGAGAGAGAGAGAGAGAGAGAGAGGGAGAGAGACAGAGAGAGAAACAGAGAGACAGACAGAAUCAGAGAGAGAGAGAGAAAAGAGAGAAUACUGGCAGAGCAACUUCUGAUGACUAAGCCUGCUACAAAAAGUUGAUUUGCUCCCUUUUUAAACUGGGAUUGUACUCACAUGUAAAAUGGUAGAAUUUCUUGGCAAAGAUACUGAAAUGGUUUGCCAUUUCCUUCCCCAGCUCAUUUUAUAGAUGAGGAAACUGAGGCAAAUAGGGUUAAGUGACUUCCCAGGGUCACACAGCUAACAGGUGUCUGAGGCCAUAGUUGAACUCAGGAAGAUGAUUCUUGACUUCAGACCUAGUACUCUCUCCACUGUAUCACCCAACUGUCUUAGUGCAUAGGAUAAUGUGAUAUUAUCCCCAUGUUGCUGUUCUUCCCUUCUGUUUUUCAACUUCCUCUCUUCUUUCUUCUGUUUUAAUGAUAUAAAUAGCUGGAAAAAAUAGACAAAAGAGUAUGACUAGGGGACAAACUAAUCGAUAUGGGAAUAUAUUAAGAGUCAUAUCAUGUCCCACAUCACCCAGAAUCAUGAUAAUAGAGGAAACAGUCUUGAGGGGGUGUCCUAACCUGGAGCAUAAAUAGACACUAGAAACCACACGAGGAAGAUCUAGAGUGGUUAAGAUCAUGAGCUGAUAUGGAUUUUAUUUGUUUAGGAAGCUAUGAGAAACUACUUUCCCUUCUUGAUUAUGAAUGAUCGUGAAAUGGAGAAUGAAAGUUUCUCCAUCUUUUCUCCUCCAUGAACUGCAGUUAUUGGAGAAACUGUUCAUGUUUGGCCCAUUUAAUGUGACUCCUACAAUGCCUCAGAGGUCACUGAAGUUUGUGUGUAUAAUGAGCUCCUGGUUCUGCUCAUUUCAUCUCCUAAUACAAAUAAAAUAGAAGAAAAAGAAGAUAUUACACUUUCAUGGGACAGUAAAAAUAUAUUUCAGUUUGUCCCAGGAGGACUCCUAUUCUGCCAGUCUACAUUUGACCUGAGGAACAAUUGUUUAUUUAUUGUGAGGAAAUCUUGAGAUCUUGGAAUUUUCUGACCACUAUCUUCCCAGAAUCCUCCUGGGAACUCCUUUUUAAUUUGAAUUCCAGAGCAGAUGUCCAUGGUCUUGAGGCACAUCUUUGGUAAGAGCAUAUGAGUUGUUUUACAUAUG
rnacentral:lncRNA from 1 species